rnacentral:rRNA from 1 species
GACGAACGCUGGCGGCGUGCUUAACACAUGCAAGUCGAACGGAAAGGCCUCUUUCGGGGGGUACUCGAGUGGCGAACGGGUGAGUAACACGUGAGUAACCUGCCCUUGACUUUGGGAUAACUUCAGGAAACUGGGGCUAAUACCGGAUAGGAGCUCCUGCUGCAUGGUGGGGGUUGGAAAGUUUCGGCGGUUGAGGAUGGACUCGCGGCUUAUCAGCUUGUUGGUGGGGUAGUGGCUUACCAAGGCUUUGACGGGUAGCCGGCCUGAGAGGGUGACCGGCCACAUUGGGACUGAGAUACGGCCCAGACUCCUACGGGAGGCAGCAGUGGGGAAUAUUGCACAAUGGGUGGAAGCCUGAUGCAGCAACGCCGUGUGCGGGAUGACGGCCUUCGGGUUGUAAACCGCUUUCGCUCAUGACGAAGCUUUGUGUGACGGUAGUGGGUAAAGAAGCACCGGCUAACUACGUG